AAUAAAAUGGCUGAGUAAAUUAAGCGAUAAAUUGUAAAUUUAUUUACGAGAUUAUUUCUCUUUUAUUA
rnacentral:tRNA from 1 species